CCCAUUGAGUCUUUCAGAGCAUGAUUGACAAGGGUUCUGAGUCAUGUCAGUUGUAUUACUGCGCAUGUCCUUUCCCAUAAUUCACUCUGUUGUCAUUGGGUGCAGGAGAUGCAGUCCAUGUGUAUGAACUUUCAAUAAGCUCCUAGGGAAGAAAGAGGGGCCGCGAGCUGAGGAGCCGACCGGUCACCCGCGCGUCUCGCCUCGGAUGGCGCCCCCCGACCUGGCUCCUUGCCCGCCGGCCCCGGCUCUCGGGAAGCGAGAGUGGCUUCAAGAUGGACGAAGACAGCGGCGAGGGCAGUGGCGGCCUUCUGCAUGCUAGGCAAGUGCUCCCCACCAAGCUGCACCCUAUCACUUCAUCACCUGUGGCAGAGCUCCAUUGCCUGAAGGCCUCUCAUUAGAAGAGAGAGAAGAACUUUUGGACAUUCGUCGAA